rnacentral:rRNA from 1 species
GUCGAGGGGUAGAAGCAGCUUGCUGCUUUGAGACCGGCGCACGGGUGCGUAACGCGUAUACAAUCUACCUUUUACAGAGGGAUAGCCCAGAGAAAUUUGGAUUAAUACCUCAUAGUAUUUUCGAAUCGCAUGAUUUGAUUAUUAAAGUUCCAACGGUAAGAGAUGAGUAUGCGUCCCAUUAGCUAGAUGGUAAGGUAACGGCUUACCAUGGCAACGAUGGGUAGGGGUCCUGAGAGGGAGAUCCCCCACACUGGUACUGAGACACGGACCAGACUCCUACGGGAGGCAGCAGUGAGGAAUAUUGGACAAUGGGCGCAAGCCUGAUCCAGCCAUGCCGCGUGCAGGAAGACGGUCCUAUGGAUUGUAAACUGCUUUUAUACAGGAAGAAACACCUCUACGUGUAGAGACUUGACGGUACUGUAUGAAUAAGCAUCGGCUAACUCCGUGCCAGCAGCCGCGGUAAUACGGAGGAUGCAAGCGUUAUCCGGAAUCAUUGGGUUUAAAGGGUCCGUAGGCGGCCAAAUAAGUCAGUGGUGAAAGCCCAUCGCUCAACGAUGGAACGGCCAUUGAUACUGUUUGGCUUGAAUUAUUAGGAAGUAACUAGAAUAUGUAGUGUAGCGGUGAAAUGCUUAGAGAUCACAUGGAAUACCAAUUGCGAAGGCAGGUUACUACUAAUAUAUUGACGCUGAUGGACGAAAGCGUGGGGAGCGAACAGGAUUAGAUACCCUGGUAGUCCACGCCGUAAACGAU